rnacentral:other from 1 species
CAUCCUCUGAGGGGACCGUGACGAGCCGACGCACUGUAGAACCAACAUUGCUACUCAGGGAGUCCGAUAUCCGCGCGGCCCGUGCCUGCCCGGCUCCGACCGGGACGCUGAAGGCCGCACAUGAGGACACCCACCUGACGCGUUUCAGGUUCUAAACGCAGCGUCUCGCGCGGUUCCCUCAGAGGGUGC